AUAUUCGGCUGUAGGCUGUAAUAUGCUGUGGUGGUUUCUUUUGCUCGUCGCGAAGGAUUCUUUUCCGUUGCGUCGUGUGAAGUUUAUUCGAGUCUCAGACUUGGUUUUAAUCGAUAUUCCUUAUCCUUCCGUCCAGGAAAGAGAUACGGUGGCUCGGAGCAUGCUACUGGUGCAUAUCUCGCGUAUAGUGGACGUCAGAAUGAGUGGGAUAAAUGGGGCUGCUGCGGCUGGUGCGAGCUAUGCCGCACCCUGGGAGUGUCGAUUUUUUAUACCUUGAUCUCCAUUUCAUCAGGAUACA
rnacentral:misc_RNA from 1 species